AGCAGCCGCGGUAAUUCCAGCUCCAAUAGCGUAUAUUAAAGUUGUUGCAGCUAAAAAGCUCGUAGUUGAAUUUCGGGAUCAUUAGGUUGGUCGUGCCUCUGGUAUGUACUGAUCUCGGUGGUUCCUACUUCUUGAAGAACCGUAAUGCCAUUAAUUUGGUGUUGCGGGGAAACAGGACUGUUACUUUGAAAAAUUAGAGUGUUUAAAGCAGGCAAUCGCUUGAAUACAUUAGCAUGGAAUAAUGAAAUAGGACGUUCGAUCCUAUUUUGUUGGUUUCUAGGAUUGACGUAAUGAUUAAUAGGGAUAGUUGGGGGCAUUAGUAUUCAAUUGUCAGAGGUGAAAUUCUUGGAUUUAUUGAAGACUAACUACUGCGAAAGCAUUUGCCAAGGAUGUUUUCAUUAAUCAAGAACGAAAGUUAGGGGAUCGAAGACGAUCAGAUACCGUCG
rnacentral:rRNA from 1 species